rnacentral:rRNA from 1 species
UUGAACGCUGGCGGAAUGCUUUACACAUGCAAGUCGAACGGCAGCACGGGGGCAACCUUGGUGGCGAGUGGCGAACGGGUGAGUAAUGUAUCGGAACGUACCCAGUCGUGGGGGAUAACUAUCCGAAAGGAUAGCUAAUACCGCAUAUUCUGUGCGCAGGAAAGCAGGGGAUCGCAAGACCUUGCGCUGAUUGAGCGGCCGAUAUCAGAUUAGCUAGUUGGUGAGGUAAAAGCUCACCAAGGCGACGAUCUGUAGCGGGUCUGAGAGGAUGAUCCGCCACACUGGAACUGAGACACGGUCCAGACUCCUACGGGAGGCAGCAGUGGGGAAUUUUGGACAAUGGGGGCAACCCUGAUCCAGCCAUGCCGCGUGAGUGAAGAAGGCCUUCGGGUUGUAAAGCUCUUUCAGCCGGGAAGAAAACGCAUGGGUUAAUACCCUGUGUGGAUGACGGUACCGGAAUAAGAAGCACCGGCUAACUACGU